rnacentral:rRNA from 1 species
GACGAACGCUGGCGGCGUGCCUAAUGCAUGCAAGUCGCACGCGGCACCUUCGGGUGCUGAGUGGCGAACGGCUGAGGAACACGUGGGGACCUGUCCGGGAGUGGGGGACAACACCGCGAAAGCGGUGCUAAUCCCGCAUACGCUCUGAGGAGGAAAGCCGAAAGGCGCUCCCGGGUGGCCCUGCGGCCCAUCAGGUUGUUGGUGGGGUAACGGCCUACCAAGCCAAUGACGGGUCGCUGGUCUGUGAGGACGACCAGCCAGACUGGGACUGGGACACGGCCCAAACUCCUACGGGAGGCAGCGGCAAGGAAUUUUCGGAAAUGGGCGCAACCCUGACCGAGCACCCCCGCGUGAAGGAAGACGGCCUUUGGUUUGUAAACUGCUUUUGCUAGGGAUAAAAACAAACAGUACCGGGCGAAUCAACCCCGGCUAACUCUGU